GUAAAUACUGUCUCUUAGUGGUGGAGAUAGAUGGUCUAGAGCUAACUCAGGGCAUUGUGGGUAAAUACUGGUUAAAUACUGUCUCUUAGUGGUGGAGAUAGAUGGUCUAGAGCUAACUCAGGGGCAUUGUGGGUAAAUACUGUCUCUUAGUGGUGGAAUAGAUGGUCUAGAGCUAACUCAGGGCAUUGUGGGUAAAUACUGUCUCUUAGUGGUGGAGAUAGAUGGUCUAGAGCUAACUCAGGGCAUUGUGGGUAAAUACUGUCUCUUAGUGGUGGAGAUAGAUGGUCUAGAGCUAACUCAGGGGCAUUGUGGGUAAAUACUGGGUAAAUACUGUCUCUUAGUGGUGGAGAUAGAUGGACUAUAGCUAACUCAGGGGCAUUGUGGGUAAAUACUGUCUCUUAGUGGUGGAAUAGAUGGUCUAGAGCUAACUCAGGGGCAUUGUGGGUAAAUACUGGGUAAAUACUGUCUCUUAGUGGUGGAGAUAGAUGGUCUAGAGCUAAC
rnacentral:lncRNA from 1 species